UACGGAGGGUGCAAGCGUUAUCCGGAUUCACUGGGUUUAAAGGGUGCGUAGGCGGGCAUUUACGUCAGUGGUGAAAUACCUGAGCUUAACUUGGGAACUGCCAUUGAUACUAUUUGUCUUGAAUACUGUGGAGGUCAGCGGAAUAUGUCAUGUAGCGGUGAAAUGCUUAGAUAUGACAUAGAACACCAAUUGCGAAGGCAGCUGGCUACACAAAUAUUGACACUGAGGCACGAAAGCGUGGGGAUCAAACAGG
rnacentral:rRNA from 1 species